UUUAAACUUUUUUUGGAUUUGACUGUCACUGGUGAGUCUUUUGUAGACGAAACGCGCGCGUUGGUGUUAAUACAAAAUUUAAUCCUGGUAUCUAUGCUGAGUUUAUUCAGAACAUUAUUUUGAAUCAUAAACUGUUAAUUUGAAAACUGCAGACAUGAAGAUUUAGCGCUUUUAUGUAAUUUAAUUAUUCUACUUUCCAAUAAAUAGCUAAAAGUUUACAUUUUAACAAAUUUGUAAUAUACUAUAUUUUUGGGGUUAAAAGGGGUUUCACCGGACUUCCUCCUUUUAUGACUCUCUUUGUCUAAAAGGAGAAAAAAUUACACAAAUGUAAAUACUGUGC
rnacentral:lncRNA from 1 species